UACGUAGGGUGCAAGCGUUGUCCGGAAUUAUUGGGCGUAAAGAGCUCGUAGGCGGUUUGUCGCGUCUGCUGUGAAAACUGGGGGCUCAACCCCCAGCCUGCAGUGGGUACGGGCAGACUAGAGUGCGGUAGGGGAGAUUGGAAUUCCUGGUGUAGCGGUGGAAUGCGCAGAUAUCAGGAGGAACACCGAUGGCGAAGGCAGUUCUCUGGGCCGUAACUGACGCUGAGGAGCGAAAGCGUGGGGAGCGAACAGG
rnacentral:rRNA from 1 species